CCUACGGGAGGCAGCAGUGGGGAAUAUUGGACAAUGGGCGAAAGCCUGAUCCAGCCAUGCCGCGUGAGUGAUGAAGGCCUUAGGGUUGUAAAGCUCUUUUAGCAGGGAAGAUAAUGACGGUACCUGCAGAAAAAGCCCCGGCUAACUUCGUGCC
rnacentral:rRNA from 1 species